AAUGAACGUUGGCGGCAUGGAUUAGGCAUGCAAGUCGAGCGAGAAGUGUAGCAAUACGCGGAAAGCGGCGGAAGGAAGAGUAAUACGUGGGAAUCUGCCCUUAGACCUGGGAUAGCAGCGGGAAACUGCUGGUAAUACCAGAUAAUGUCUAUGGACCAAAGGUGUGAUUCCGUCUAGGGAUGAGCCCACGUCCUAUUAGCUAGUUGGUAGGGUAAUGGCCUACCAAGGCGAUGAUGGGUAGCGGGUGUGAGAGCAUGACCCGCCUCACUGGGACUGAGACACUGCCCAGACACCUACGGGUGGCUGCAGUCGAGAAUCUUCGGCAAUGGGCGCAAGCCUGACCGAGCGAUGCCGCGUGCGGGAUGAAGGCCUUCGGGUUGUAAACCGCUGUCGAGGGGGAGCAACUUCCAUAGAGUUAUCUUUAUGGAUUGAGUGAUCCCUGGAGGAAGGACGGGCUAAGUUCGUGCCAGCAGCCGCCGUAAGAC
rnacentral:rRNA from 1 species